rnacentral:rRNA from 1 species
UACGUAGGGGGCAAGCGUUAUCCGGAUUUACUGGUGUAAAGGGAGCGUAGACGGCGAUGCAAGUCUGAAGUGAAAGCCCGGGGCUCAACCCCGGGACUGCUUUGGAAACUGUAUGGCUGGAGUGCUGGAGAGGCAAGCGGAAUUCCUAGUGUAGCGGUGAAAUGCGUAGAUAUUAGGAAGAACACCAGUGGCGAAGGCGGCUUGCUGGACAGUAACUGACGUUGAGGCUCGAAAGCGUGGGGAGCAAACAGG